AGAGUUUGAUUAUGGCUCAGGAUGAACGCUAGCGAUAGGCCUAACACAUGCAAGUCGAGGGGCAGCACAUGAAGUAGCAAUACGGAUGGUGGCGACCGGCGCACGGGUGAGUAACGCGUAUGCAACCUGCCUACAACAGGGGAAUAACCCGUUGAAAGACGGACUAAUACCCCAUAACACAGGGAUCCCGCAUGGGAAUAUUUGUUAAAGAUUUAUCGGUUGUAGAUGGGCAUGCGUUCCAUUAGCUUGUUGGUGAGGUAACGGCUCACCAAGGCAACGAUGGAUAGGGGAACUGAGAGGUUUAUCCCCCACACUGGUACUGAGACACGGACCAGACUCCUACGGGAGGCAGCAGUGAGGAAUAUUGGUCAAUGGACGCAAGUCUGAACCAGCCACGUCGCGUGAAGGAAGACGGCCCUACGGGUUGUAAACUUCUUUUGUAAGGGAAUAAAGUGUAGUACGUGUACUAUUUUGCAUGUACCUUACGAAUAAGGAUCGGCUAACUCCGUGCCAGCAGCCGCGGUAAUACGGAGGAUCCGAGCGUUAUCCGGAUUUAUUGGGUUUAAAGGGUGCGCAGGCGGGAGAUUAAGUCGGCGGUGAAAUUUUGCAGCUCAACUGUAAAAGUGCCUUCGAAACUGGUUUCCUUGAGUGUGGAUGAAGUAGGCGGAAUUUGUGGUGUAGCGGUGAAAUGCAUAGAUAUCACGAGGAACUCCGAUUGCGCAGGCAGCUUACUAAACCAUAACUGACGCUCAGGCACGAAAGCGUGGGGAUCAAACAGGAUUAGAUACCCUGGUAGUC
rnacentral:rRNA from 1 species